GACGAACGCUGGCGGCGUGCUUAACACAUGCAAGUCGAACGGAAAGGCCCUGCUUGUGGGGUACUCGAGUGGGGAACGGGGGAGUAACACAUGGGAGUACUGCCCUCCACACUGUGAUAAGCCUUGGAGACUGGGUCGAUUACAGGAGAGGAGCGAUCCUGAUGGUGGUGGUUGGAAAGUUUGUUUGGUUGGGGUUGGGCGCGCGGCCUGUCGGCUUGUUGGUGGGGUAAGGGCUUACCAAGGCGGCGACGGGUAGCCGGCCUGGGAGGGUGACCGGCCACAUUGGGACUGGGAUACGGCCCAGACUCCAACGGGAGGAAGCAGUGGGAAAUAUUGCACAAGGGGCGGAGGCCGGAGCAAGCAACGCCGCGUGCGGGAUGCCGCCUUCCGGGUGGUAAACCGCUUUCGUCGGGGACGAACCUUUAGUGACGGUACCUAGAAAAGAAGCACCGGCUAACUACGUG
rnacentral:rRNA from 1 species